rnacentral:tRNA from 1 species
GGUUCGGUGAUCUUGGGGUAUGAUUCUCGCUUAGGGUGCGAGAGGUCCCGGGUUCUAGUCCGGCCGAACCC